rnacentral:sRNA from 1 species
GUUAAGUAGGGUCUGGCCUGGAAUACUCUUCUAGAUGAAAAUAGCCCAACCAUGAGCCACCUUCUCAGCAGAUGAGAUGAAAUUAAAGCUCUUCACCUCCUCAAGGCCCAGAGACUAUCACAAAAGAGGUGGGCAUGUGAGAUUGUAAGAACUGAUUUUGAGAGAUAAAAUAAGUUCAGUUUUUCUAUAAAUUAAUCAUUAAUGUCAAAGGCACACUAAUGCAAGACCAGAAUAGGGGCCCCAGUGUUAGAUUAACAAGGUUUUCUUGAAGCAUUAACUGACUCCUUAAUAAAGGCUUAUAUAAGUUAUAUCUUAUGGUCAAGAUUAGAAUUUUAUAGAUUAUUCAUAACAUUUUGAAAAACAAAUUUAAUUGGCUUUAUGCUGUUUUAUUGGAGAUUAUUGUUUGGAAAAUUAAGUCUUCUCUCCCAAAGAAUGAAGGUUUUUUUCUUUUUUUGUUUUUGAAAUCUUUAUUAAUUUGGUCAAAUUAAUGACUUAUUUUACAAUGACCUGUGACAUCAAGUGUUUUAAACCUUUGAUAUUUGACUGACAUUCUUUCUGUGGAACAAAGUUCCAUCAAACUAUCCAAAAUCAAAUUAUAAAUUAUGUAUUUUUCUUACCCAAUCCUUUAAAAUAUUAUGUUCCCUAAAGUUUAAAAAUGACAUAAUUUUGCUUAUUUCUUAUAAAAAUUAUACAGAGAGCGUUGUUGAAUAUGAAAUGGUGUUUGGUUUUUUUUGGGGCUGUGUUUGUAUAAAUAUAUUAUUGGUAUUUGUUCCAAAAUUAUGGGAAACUCCUAUAAUUCUUAUAUGACUUAGUGUACAUUAUUAGCGGUAAUUAUAAUUGUUAUGUUAAAUUAUUGCCACAGAGGUAACAAAUUUCCUUGUCAAUUGUGUCUUUGACUUUGGUUGCCUUAAAACUUUUUGUCAUUCACAGACAAUUGUUGUAUUGUUUUGGUCCUCUUUAGAAGGUAGUUUUAUAAUCAGCUAUAAAACUCUAACAGGUGGUCUUGAAUGCAAGUUUCUGAUAACUUUGGAGAUUGUGACAUCAGAGUAGAGGAAAAAAAUUCAGAACUCAUGGAGAGUUGAAAUGUUCAUGAAUAUUAAACAGAACAAGGAUUAAGUGCAUGCAUUGAACUAUUAGAAGACUGAAGUAAUCUUUUUUUCUUUUUUUGAGUCGAGGUCUCACUCGGUCCCCCAGGCUGGAGUCCAGUGGUGUGAUCUCAGAUGAAUUACAGAUGCACGCCACCAAGCCUGGCUAAUUUUUGUAUUUUUAGUGGAGACGGGGUUUCACCAUGUUGGUCAGGCUGGUCUUGAACUCCUGACCUCGUGAUCUGCCUGCCUCGGCCUCCCAAAGUGUUGGGAUUACAGGUGUGAGCCACCACGACCAGCCGAUCUUUUUGACUUUUUACUUAAAAUGUUGCUGAUCCUUUCUUUUGUUUUCUGAGUCAAGGAAACCUACCUUUUGAUCUAUUUACAGCUUUUAACAAGUUAGUAUACUCCUGUGAACAAAAUUUAAAGCAUGUUUAAUUCUCUCUACUUGAUUUCUCUAGAAUUUGGAAACUAUUUGUGAGUAUUUUUAACUUAUGGCAAUACAUUUAUUUGCAUAAGUGCAAUAGGAAUCUGUUUUUUGUUUGUUUUGUUAUUUAUUUAUUUUUUGAGACAGAGUCUCACUCUGUUGCCAGGCUAGAGUGUGGUGGCACAAUCUUGGCUCACUGUAACCUCUGCCUCCUGGGUUCAGGCAGUCCUCCUGCCUUGGCCUCCCAAGUAGCUGGGACUACAGGUGAGCACCACCAUGCCCAGCUAAUUUUUUAUAUUUUUAAUAGAGAUAGGGUUUCACCAUGUUGGCCACUAUGGUCUUAAUCUCUUGACCUCAUGAUUCACCCAUCUUGACCUCCCAAAGUGCUGUGAUUAAAGGCAUGAGCCACCACGCCCUGCCAAGAAUCUGGUUUUUAUAAGUAACAGGACACAACUGGAGAAACUGGUUAUUUUACCAAUACUUUGACUGGAAUGGUGUUCUUUUUUUAAGGAAUCAAACUUGAUUUAUGGAGCCAAUUAAAAGCCCCUUGGGAAAACUGGAUUCAAAUCUUGUCUACAUGGUCCCUGUACUAUGACAUUUUUACUUACCACAGGUCAGAAAUCCUGAAGAUCACUUUCUGACAAACUCAGGAGCUCCAGGUUUAUCUUGGAACCUCAAGAGGAGAGAAAUUCACCCAACUCAGGUAUUUGAUGGUACAAAUCCAUGGCUGGGGUUGGCUUUUAAAAAGUCUUAUCUGAGAUUCCUUCUAUGGAACAAAGUUCCAUCAGGGCCAAACAUCAGGGAAUUUAUAUUGAAGAAAAAUUGUGCAAAUGUAAUAAAUUUGGAAAAACACUUUUUCAAAAACUACAGCUUAGAAAACAACAGAGAGUUCAUACUGGAGUAUAUUUUUGCAGAUGCAGUAAAUGUAAAAAAAUAUUUAAUCCAUAAUUAAGUCUAUGCAAAUAUCAGAAUUUAUGGUAGAAAUAUAUAAGGCACUGACACACUUCACGUAUUCUAAAUCAGAGUGCUGAGUAUAGGAAAUCUAAAACUAAAGUUGGCAGAAAAAUUAUUUGCAUGUAACUUUCAGAGGAUCAGAAGGUUUUUUGCGGAGUUAUAAUUACAUUCAAAGUACAUUGCUUGAAAAAUAAUACAGAUUUUUUGAAAAGUGAAUAAUGAUGUCAUUCAACUCUGAAAUUAUUUCCUGCUGUUUCUUCAUUCCGAUUGGAGUCACAUGUGAAAGCACGGGAUCAAUUGUUGCUGUGUCAAAGAUGUGAGAGAUUCUUUUUGUUUUGAAAGUAAAGACAUUAAAAUGUAAGAUGCAUAAUAAAAAUCUAAGUGGAGAAGCUCUUAUAACCUAUAAUAUUGAGUGAUGCAUGAGGUAGGUGUUCAAAGUAAUCUGCAUUAUCAUGAGAAGAAAACAUGUUUAAUUUUAUUUAAACAAAAUUUAAAGCAUAUUUAAUUCUCUCUACUUGAUUUCUCUAGAAUUUUGAAACUAUUUGUUUCCAAAUUUAAAAUUAAAUGAGUAGUAUAUUAUUGUAGUAAUUGUACUUUUUUUUUUGAGAUGGAGUUUUGCUCUUGGUGCCCAGGCUGGAGUGCAUUGGCACGACCUCUGGCUCACUAUGACCUCUGCCUCCCAGGUUCAAGCGAUUCUCCUGCCUCAGCCUCCUGAGUAGCUGGGAUUACAGGCAUGAGCCACCACGCCUGGCUAAUUUUGAAUUUUUAGUAGAAACAGGGUUUCUCCAUGUUGGUAAGGCUGGUCUCAAACUGCUGACCUCAGGUGAUCUGCCCACUUUGGCCUCCCAAAGUGCUGGGAUUACAGGCUUGAGCCACUGAGCCUGGCCUGAUUGUACUUUUAUAUAAUAAAAUGCAAUAAUAAAUUUUAGAUUAUGUGUGAAGUUAAUAGUUUAAUUCAACAUUUUUAACAUGUUAAAUACUAUUGUGCAUUCAAUGAAGUGUUAUUAUGCCACAAACUUUAACCUCUUUCACCUUACUCAAGGGUAUAGGUGAAAGAUGGUAACAAUAUACUGUUUAGUAAGAUAAUAGAUUAACAUCUCUAGUGAUUUUUUUUUUUUGCCAGUGGCUUUCAACUGCAAAUAAGUUAAAGAAUAUUGUUUCUGUAGGUUAAAUUUUUAUUCUGUUUUUAAUCAUUAAAUUUAUUUUAAUUUUGGUGGCUGCAUGAGUAUCUAUUUAUGCAAUAUAUGGCAUAUUUUAAUACAGGAAUACAAUAUAUAAUAAUAUCAGCAUUAAGUGGGCAUCCUUCGCCUGUAGCAUUUAUCCUAUGUUUUACAAUCCAAUUCUACACUUUUUUAAAAAAAUUUAAAAAUGUACAAUUAAAUUGUUAUUUACUACAGGGUUAUUUUUAUGGUCCUAAUAAAAAUUAUAUGAGUAUAAAUAAAAUUCAUUGUUAAAUUCUUAAUAUUUUUUCAAAUUUCUAUUUUUCUUUGAACACGUGGCCAAUCUGCCUGCAAACACGUACAGACUUUUAGUUUUGAUAUACAUAGAGUUAAAUAUUUAUUAAUCUAAAGACAAACCUUAGGUGAAGAAAAUUAUGGAGUAAGUGUGUCAGGAGUUUGAGACCAGCCAGACCAACGUGGAUUAACCCCGUCUCUACUAAAAACACAAAAUUAGCCGGGCGUGGUGGCAUAUGCCUGUAAUCCCAGCUACUCAGGAGGCUGAGCCAGGAGAAUUGCUUGAGUAUGGGAGGUGGGGGCGGAGGUUGCAGUGAGCCGAGAUUAUGCCAUUGCACUCCAGCCUGGGCAGCAACAGUGAAACUCUGUCUCAAAAAAAAAAA